rnacentral:rRNA from 1 species
AUUGAACGCUGGCGGCAGGCCUAACACAUGCAAGUCGAACGAGUGGCGGACGGGUGAGUAAUGUCUGGGAAACUGCCUGAUGGAGGGGGAUAAUUACUGGAAACGGUAGCUAAUAACGCAUACCAUGGGAUGUGCCCAGAUGGGAUUAGCUUGGUGGUGGGUGAACGGCUCACCAAGGCGACCAUCCCUAGCUGGUCUGUGAGGAUGGCCAGCGACACUGGAACGGAGACAGGGUCCGGACUACUACGGGAGGCAGCAGUGGGGUGUGGUGCACGAGGGGAGCAAUCCUAAUGCAGCCAUGCCGCGUGUAGGAAGAGGGCCUUCGGGUUGGAGAGUACUUUCAGCUGGGAGGCGUUACCCGCAGAAGAAGCACCGGCUAACUCCGUGCCAGCAGCCGCGGUAAUAC